rnacentral:rRNA from 1 species
AGGUGCUGCACGGCUGUCGUCAGCUCGUGUCGUGAGAUGUUGGGUUAAGUCCCGCAACGAGCGCAACCCUCGUCCUUAGUUGCCAGCAGGUUAAGCUGGGCACUCUAAGGAGACUGCCUCCGCAAGGAGGAGGAAGGUGAGGACGACGUCAAGUCAUCAUGGCCCUUAUGGCUAGGGCUACACACGUGCUACAAUGGGGCGUACAGAGAGUUGCGAUACCGCGAGGUGGAGCCAAUCUCAUAAAGCGUCUCUCAGUUCGGAUUGAAGUCUGCAACUCGACUUCAUGAAGCUGGAAUCACUAGUAAUCGUAGAUCAGCAAUGCUACGGUGAAUACGUUCCCGGGUCUUGUACUCACCGCCCGUCACACCAUGGGAGUUGAUUUCACCCGAAAUUGGGAAGCUAACCUUCGGGAGGCUACCACUUACGGUGGAAUUAGCGACUGGGGUGAAGUCCAAGCAACAUA